rnacentral:rRNA from 1 species
AGAGUUUGAUCAUGGCUCAGAGUGAACGCUGGCGGCGUGCCUAACACAUGCAAGUCGAACGAGAACGGAUAUAAGUUUACUUAUAUUGUCAGCUAAGUGGCGCACGGGUGAGUAAUAUAUAGUUAAUCUGCCCUGAAGAAGAGAAUAAUUGUUGGAAACGACUUGUAAUGCUCUAUAUGCCUUUAUCACAUAAGUGAGCAAGGGAAAUAUUUAUAGCUUCGGGAUGAGACUGUACGGUAUCAGCUAGUUGGUGAGGUAAUGGCUCACCAAGGCUAUGACAUCUAACUGGUUUGAGAGGAUGAUCAGUCACACUGGAACUGAGACACGGUCCAGACUCCUACGGGAGGCAGCAGUGGGGAAUAUUGCACAAUGGAGGAAACUCUGAUGCAGCAACGCCGCGUGGAGGAUGACACAUUUCGGUGCGUAAACUCCUUUUAUUAGGGAAGAUAAUGACGGUACCUAAUGAAUAAACACCGGCUAACUCCGUGCCAGCA